GCACAUGUUUCAGUAAAGCUAGUUUACUGUAAACAUUUGCCAAAAUAUGACAUGCAUGCCUCAUCUGGCCUUCAUAUCAGUGAGUUAAUUUGUUCCUGACCUCGUGGAUGGAUGAUGAUCCCCCAUCCUAACUAUGGAACUAGGGAACAAGACCCUGUGCAUUGUCUGCAAGGAAUCUGGUGGAAGGGACAUAACUGCUGUCACAGCUCCUAAGCUGCUUCACCAAGUAAAACUGUUU